AAGAUGGCGACCGGCGCACGGGUGAGUAACACGUAUCCAACCUGCCUCAUACUCGGGGAUAGCCUUUCGAAGAAAGAUUAAUAUCCGAUAGCAUAUAUUUCCCGCAUGGGUUUUAUAUUAAAGAAAUUCGGUAUGAGAUGGGGAUGCGUUCCAUUAGUUUGUUGGGGGGGUAACGGCCCACCAAGACUACGAUGGAUAGGGGUUCUGAGAGGAAGGUCCCCCACAUUGGAACUGAGACACGGUUCAA
rnacentral:rRNA from 1 species